CUCGCUUGGUGCUCAGUUCUUUCCUCUGCUCCUCCGCCUCUUCUCGCACCUCGGCACCUUCUUCGGCAACUGCGAGCGAGAUGGAGGCGCAAGACGACUGCAAGUGGCGGCAGAUCCCGGCGUUCGGCGACUGGAACGUGUGGGACGGCGACAUGCCCGUCACCCAGUACUUCCAGGCAGGGGCCUUCUUCUUCGCGGCGCCGGCGGAGAAGGGCGACGCGGAUCUCUUCAAGGUGCCCCAGUUGCCUGCCAAGCCCUACGGCUACAAGAAGUGCGUUGUUCGAGUGAAGGGGGAGAAAGAAACCGCUGUGCCGCCGGCGGCGAGGAAGGGACGCAGGAGGCGCUGCGUGAGCGAGCAGCACAAGUGGAAGCCCAAGGGAGCUGUGGACGAGGACCUGUACAAGAUCUCCCCGCAGCUUCUCUGCAAGAAGAAGCUGCUGAGGAAUUUGCUUGGAGGGUGCCUCGGCUUGGGCUGCAUCGCCUGAUAGUGAGAGAUGCAGAGCUUAAUAAGUUUCUUGAAAGUUCGCUUGCUUGGUGCUCUGGAGAGAGUUGUAUAGUUGUCUACGCUAAUAUGAGAUUAAUGGAAACUUACUACUGCUUCUGCACUCGUUUGAAUGUAACACUAGCUUGCAUUCCAUCUUUCCUACGGUUGCUUCAGUGCCUGACUAAGGGCUGUUUGAUUCUGAAAAUGUAUAAAUUCAGCCUUAUUGUCUUUCACAGGUACGAAUUGGACCUUCAUUAACUAAUGUGUUCAGCAAGACUUGUUAGCCCAAGUUGAAUGGUUCAGGCAAGCUUGUCUGUAACCAAGGGCACCCCUGUCUGUAAACCC
rnacentral:misc_RNA from 1 species